CACGAGACUGGGCAUCGGUAGACGGGUUGGAAAGCGUUUGUUCGCGUACAAUAGAAACUCUGGCUCGGCUGCCACAACGCACCGGUCUCGUAAAUCAUCUGCUCGUGUCAGUGCGCAACAUAUUCGUAAGGAGAUUAGGAUCGAUACAUCGGUAUCAGUAUUCCAGCAGACCGCCCAUGCCUCUGAUAUUUUCGAAAUUUUUUCUGCUUCGAGAGACCGUGGCUAUAUACGUUUCUCUAAUUAUCAACUGUCACGUGGAUUUCAGGGUCUCUCGAUAUUUGCCAUAGGUCGAUGCCUGGAUGUGUUACACGAUAUACUGUAGGACGAUACUGUAUGAUGCUGUAAAUUCUAAAGCAGAAAUGAUAAUUAUAACGAUUACAAAUUAUAUUACGAGAAGUGAUCGUCUACAUCGCUUUGAAUGUGCAGUACUUUCUCUCAGUGUGUGGCACGAAAGAGACUCGAGCAAAUCGUCAAAUGAAGUAUUAUAAAUUUGAUAUCUUAAAUAUUGUUAUAUGUAAGAUAAUUAUUGAUAACUUUUUACUAUAAAAUGUUGAAGGGAUUUAUUUCUUAUGUUCGAUACUAGAAAUACAAAGAAUUUUGAGGAUAAGAAG
rnacentral:misc_RNA from 1 species